rnacentral:rRNA from 1 species
UACGAGGGGUGCAAGCGUUGCUCGGAAUUAUUGGGCGUAAAGGGUAGGUAGGUGGUCUCAUUUGUCAGGGGUGAAAGCCUUGGGCUUAACCCAAGAAGUGCCCCUGAAACGGUGAGACUGGAGUCUUGGAGAGGGUCGUGGAAUUCCCGGUGUAGCGGUGAAAUGCGUAGAGAUCGGGAGGAACACCAGAGGCGAAGGCGGCGACCUGGACAAGUACUGACACUCAACUACGAAAGCGUGGGUAGCAAACAGG